AAGUCGUAACAAAGGUUUCCGUAGGUGAACCUGCGGAAGGAUCAUUAGUGAAUUUUAGGGUGCUCUGCUUCAUCGCAGAGGCCUGACCUCCACUCUCCAACACUGUGCACUAUUUGGCAAAGCGGAAUUGUGUAUCCUCUCUCGGGAGAAUCGCAUGGCUUUGCGGCUUCAUUUUAAACACCAAGUCAAAUGAAUGUAAACAAACCAAAAACUAAAAAAAA
rnacentral:misc_RNA from 1 species